CUAUCGAUGGACUUCGAAAUAAAAUAAGAUAUGAUCACGGACCUUUACAUAAUUUUUCCUAAAUUUGCUAUCAGGGAAGGCGGGUUAGCGCCUUGGCGGUACCCGCCGUUCGCUGCUUGUAAGGCUAGAAAGCCCGGCCAUGGCGGAUUAGGGUUAGAGUUGGGUUUUCUCCUGUAGCGAGUGAUCGAUCCCAUUCUCAGGUCGUAAGAGAAGAGGGGAGAUACCAAGGAGCAGCAAUUGCUUGCCCAACGUCGAUGUUGUCCAUCGAGAUGCAAAAGCCCCCCUCGAUCGGACGGUGAUUAAAAAAUGGGUUCCGUAUUCUUCUCUGAUCUCUCUCUAUUCCCUUAGUGUGUAAUUAAAAUGGAGAAAUCUAUUCAACCAAUUACGAUAUUCUGAUUUUUUCUUCUUAGGUAGCUGCUUGGAGGAUUGCCGUGGAAGAGAAAAGUUAUCACUCAAGAGAGCAACUUUCCUAGGUAGAUUUUUGUUUGUUUGAUUGAUCAGUUUGGUACCAAAAUGUGAUAGUGGCGGUUGAAUGGAUACAAAAGGAACAUGGUGAAGAAAUGGGAAAGGAGAUGAGAACUGUUCAUUUAGCUCGUGAUUGAUCCGUCAAGCAGGGAGAUAGAGACAGAGGCAAAUGCAUUUGACCGAGUUGAGACAGCUGUGGAAGCUGCAAUCCUAGAGGAGAGAAUGAAGUAGGUAGGGCCCGUGGGGCUAGAAAACUAGUUUCUCUAUUUAUCUCUCUCCUUCGUUCUCAUCGAUGGCCUUCCCCUACUCUUGCUACCAGGCCUGGUGGUGACAGGGAUACUAUUGUAUGUGCUACUACCACUACCGACUAAGGAGAUCAUCAUUGUUUAAACAUUAAAUUUUUUAUAUGUGAAACAAUCUGUAAACUUCUCAUUUAU